UACAGGGGGGCAAGCGUUGUUCGGAAUUACUGGGCGUAAAGGGCUCGUAGGCGGCCAACUAAGUCACACGUGAAAUCCCCAGGCUUAACCUGGGAACUGCGUGUGAUACUGGAUGGCUUGAAUCCGGGAGAGGGAUGCGGAAUUCCAGGUGUAGCGGUGAAAUGCGUAGAUAUCUGGAGGAACACCGGUGGCGAAGGCGGCAUCCUGGACCGGUAUUGACGCUGAUGAGCGAAAGCCAGGGGAGCAAACGGG
rnacentral:rRNA from 1 species